GGAAACGAAGGGGAAGUUUUCCUGUUGUGAGCUUAAAUACCGAGUCUGCUCUGCUUUUUCCAUCAGGUGACGAAGCUUAUGGAAAAAAAGACCAAAGGCCUCGAGGGAUGUUAUUCUUGACCCCCGGGGCAAACGGAGGUGUUCACCUGGUCAGCGUCAGGAGCCAUCCUACCUGAGGCCCUGGCUCCCUCUUUCCCUUCGGUUGCCACGUGUGUGCCGGACACCUCUGGCAGGACUAACCCUGUGGCUUUUAUGUCCAACGUGCUGUGUGCCUGCAGUAUCCUGUCCAAGACCAAGCUACCUUUCCUCGUUGGAAUGGACUGGCCGGGCUUUGGCAGUCUGGCCCCUCGAAAGACUAAAGUGACCUCUUCCAGCAGGGAAGACUUUCUGGCAAGCGGGUACCAGAAAGAACUGGAGUUUCUGGAGAAUAAAAGCUGGAGGUGUGCCCCCGAUAAUCCUCGCCCCGGGUGGUGAGUGGUCUGACUUGCAGGGACCGGUGGCCUUGGCCAGGAGCGGUCCUGCCGGACUGUAAUUUUAAUUUCCUGCCCAGGCUGUAAUUUUAAUUUCCCUUGGAUGCUUGGCAAAGCCCUUCUGGGGGAGCCCUAGUGCCUGGCAUGAGCGGAGCGGGCUUCCAGGGAGGUAUUCACCUGGUCAGCGUCAGGAACCAUCCUCCCUGAAGCCUCGGCUCCCUGUUUCCCUUCGGUCGCCGUGGGUGUGCCGGACGCCUCUGGCAGGACUAACCCUGUGGCUUUUAUGUCCAGCGUGCUGUGCUGUGUGUGCCUGCAGGUGGUUGGUGUUUCUGCAGUGUUUGGCACAGGACUGGGGGAGAUUUUUACCCAGCUUUCUAAAGCUGUAGAUGAAUAGGAGAGACUGAAUGCACUCCCUUUAUUCACCUUUUCAGAGAGUAUCGGCCAGAAUACGAGCGCCUGAGAAAAAUGCUGAAUCCACAUGUAAAUCUUUGUCUACGGGAGAAAGCUCAAAAUAAACAAAAGAGAGAGCAGCUGGAACACUUGUGGAAGGACAUGGGCAGCGUGUGUGUGCAGGGCAGCACACUGGCAGGACCUGAUGCUUCUGCAAUGGGUCCCUCUGAGCUAAUACUAACACGAGGAACUCUCGAUGAAGAGCAAGAAGAGAGGGAGAGUGACGCUGAUGGCAUUGACCACGAAGGUAAGGGAAUGAGGUCUAAAAGCUGCCUCUCAAGAAAUCCACUCUAUAUUUCAUGUCCUGGAUGGACUGUAAGGAGAGCCUAGAAAACAAGCAAACAUUCAGUCACCUGACGUGUCGGAAUCUGUAGCAGAAGCUCAGCUGCAAUGGUCAGUGCAGGGAUAUCACUCUGUAACCUUUGUGAAAGUUCAAUUGUAAAUUUUCUAUUCAAGUAAUUAAUAGGUGUAUAACACACAUAAACGAGAGAACUCGUUAGGCUUGGGGCAUGCAGUGACCUCUGAACCUGAUUGAUGCACAGAUGUGUCCAUCAUCUUUUUGGCCUUACAGUUUCUGCCCCUGGCUCUCUUCCCUUUUCCUGUGACUGUGGUCUUGGAGCAAUCUUCUAAGUUGUUACAGUGUGAUUUUUCUCUUCUAUAGCUCACAGACUUAAUCUUCAUUCUUUCCCUGUUCCACUGAUGGGUAGGAUCACUUAUUUCCUUUGCCCUGUAAUGUAGCUGAAGAUGGAAUAGACUUUCUAUGUUGCUUUGGCUA